UUGGGAAACACUGCAAUAAGGAAUGAGUUGGGAGAAGGGAGGGGCCAGCAUGCUGGUCUCCUCCUACAUAGCAGGCAGAUGCCUGCAGACACUGGGCAUAAGAAAGCUCAUGCAGUGUGCAGUCCCUGACUUAGUAAGGAGCAGACACCAGUAGGAGAAGGCAGCCAAAUCCUCUGAGCCUAAGGAGUAAGUGGAGCCAGUGGAGGGAAAUAAAUUGCAACCCAGCACCAGGAAGAGAGCUGGCAACUCCUGAUAAGGAGGUGGAUAAUAAUUGUUUGAAUUACCUGCCACCAGGAGGAGAGCUGGGCCUACGGCCAUAUGGAGAAGAUACACAGAAAGAAAUUGCCACCCAGCUCCUGGAAGCAAGAUAGGUGAUAAUAAUUGUUUGAACUACUCAGAUCCAGGAGGAGAACUGGGGCUCCUGCCAUGAGGAGGAUUUAAAGACUGAGAGAAAAUGAGGGGACUGGGCACUGAAUGUAAAGGGCACACUUCAAAGUAACUCUGAGAGCUAGAAGUAUCUUUUAUUUAUUCGGGACUUUUUGUAGGAUUAUUGUAAUAACCAAGUGUGGUGGGGUGGCUGCCCCACGCCCGGAGAGUGUGGGCUGCGGCAGGCCCGGGCGCCUGCGUAUUCCGGCAGCCAAUGAGAGAAGGGCUUGUUGCGAGCCAAUCAGAGAACAGAUUGGGGCCAGCCAAUCAGGGCCCAGCUCAGCCAUAUAAAAGCCUGCUCAGGGAGAGAGCAGUCAGUCUGUCUCAGGCCUUCAGAGAGGAAGGUCUGUCCCCAGAGCUGGGAGGCCAGCACCAGAGACAGUGCAGUGCAGGCCAGCCUUGGAGAGUGGGAGAAGGUCCUACUCCGUAGCCUGCCAGGCGGCCGGCCUUGUAGGAAAGGACCUAGCGGGAAGGAGGGCAGUUGGGGAAGCAGUCCAGAGGAACAGACAGAGGGAGAAGAAGGACAGUGAGGCUGUUGCUAGAGGGCCUCUGGACUGGGACUCAGAGUAGUGGGCGGGCCUGGGUCCCCCCCUUCCCUUUGUUCCCCUUGGCAGUACACCCAGCUAUUGGCCGCAGGGAGCGGCCAGCCGAAACUACACCAGAUCCUUGACCGUGGGGAUUGGACUUGAAGGUGUAGGACUGUGGGUCAUCCAGCCCCUGGAAGGGGGUGCGAAUGGACAAAGGGACAUUGUCGGAGGACAGUGUUCCAGAAGAGGACGCUGCGCGUUGGGAGCAACGUGAGUCCGCACGCCAACCAAAGAAUAAAGUUUCCUAUUUCAGAGUUGUUUCCUGCUGGGAUUUCCAGACUAUAAAAACACCAUUUCUGUCCUCAGAUUUAGAGAGAGACAAGCAGAAGAUAAGCAGACCCCAAAGAAAGUAGGAUUCAAGCUGACAGGAUGCAGGAUCAGGAACUUCGGAGACUCAGGAACCAAGCAGGUGAACAGCUGCAAAUGUUUCUCCCUCACAGAGGCUAGUGAAGAAUAGAAGGAGAAAACGGCGGACUCGGGAUGAUAUGUUCUUGGAGCUCCAAAUGUGCUCUGUCAGCGUGGGAGGACAGCAGAAAGCGUGGAGGCAGACCAUGUCAGAGUGCAGAAAAGCACAUAUGAAUGAGAGGAGAGGUGGCAGGCUGAAUCGCAGGCUGAA